rnacentral:rRNA from 1 species
GAACAUCGACAUUUCGAACGCACAUUGCGGUCCGUGGAGAAACAUCCAGGACCACUCCUGUCUGAGGGCCG